rnacentral:pre_miRNA from 1 species
UUUUAGGGAUGAGUAAAGAAAGUAAUUUCUUGAGAUAGAACUUACUCUUGGUGAAGAUGCUGUAAA